AGAGUUUGAUCAUGGCUCAGAGCGAACGCUGGCGGCGUGCUUAACACAUGCAAGUCGAGUGCGCGGUUGUAGCAAUACAACUGGCGCACGGCGCACGGGUGCGUAACACGUGGGUAAUCUGCCCUCUGAUGGGGAAUAACUCGCCGAAAGGCGAGCUAAUACCGCAUAACAUUCCUUGGACUCCGGUUCGAGGAUUCAAAGGCGUAAGUCGUCGGAGGUGGAGCCCGCGCACGAUUAGCUAGUUGGUAGGGUAAAGGCCUACCAAGGCUAUGAUCGUUAGCUGGUCUGAGAGGAUGGCCAGCCACACUGGAACUGAGACACGGUCCAGACUCCUACGGGAGGCAGCAGUGGGGAAUCUUGCACAAUGGGCGAAAGCCUGAUGCAGCGACGCCGCGUGGGGGAUGAAGCUUCUCGGAGUGUAAACCCCUUUCGACCGGGACGAAUACCUCGCAAGAGGGGUGACGGUACCGGUAUAAGAAGCCCCGGCUAACUACGUGCCAGCAGCCGCGGUAAGACGUAGGGGGCCAGCGUUGCUCGGAAUUACUGGGUGUAAAGGGUUCGUAGGCGGUGUGGCAAGUCGGGAGUGAAAUCUCUAGGCUCAACUCAGGGGCUGCUUCCGAAACUGCCGUGCUAGAGUGUGGGAGAGGCGCGUGGAAUUGCAGGUGUAGCGGUGAAAUGCGUAGAUAUCUGCAGGAACACCCGUGGCGAAAGCGGCGCGCUGGACCACUACUGACGCUGAGGAACGAAAGCUAGGGGAGCAAACAGGAUUAGAUACCCUAGUAGUCC
rnacentral:rRNA from 1 species